rnacentral:rRNA from 1 species
UACGAAGGGGGGCUAGCGUUGUUCGGAAUCACUGGGCGUAAAGCGCACGUAGGCGGAUGUGUCAGUCAGGGGUGAAAUCCCGGAGCUCAACUUCGGAACUGCCUUUGAUACAGCACGUCUUGAGUCCGAUAGAGGUGGGUGGAAUUCCUAGUGUAGAGGUGAAAUUCGUAGAUAUUAGGAAGAACACCGGUGGCGAAGGCGGCCCACUGGAUCGGUACUGACGCUGAGGUGCGAAAGCGUGGGGAGCAAACAGG